CGUUGGUUUAAGGCGUUUGUAAACAGACGGUUACAAAAUAUUAGUUGUUAUGUAUGGGUCGUCUAUUUAGGGAAGAAGAAAUCCAAAGGAUCAAUACUUUGCCAACAAGAAACUCGUCAAAGAUCUGUCGAUAUAUCCCCAUUUCGGUUUUUAGCAAAUUUUGAUCAAUUUCGAUCGAUGUUGAUUUAUUUUUAACAGAUUUCAUACAUUUCGAUCCAGUUAUAACCAU
rnacentral:lncRNA from 1 species